GGAUUUUACCCUCGUCACAUCAACCUGACUCUGUUCAGAGAUGGGCAGCCUGUAUCUGAUCAUGAGAUCACUGGAGGAGAUCUGCUGCCCAAUGCUGACGGGACGUACCAGAUGAGGAAGAGUCUGGAGAUCAGUGCUGCAGACAAACACAAAUACACCUGCUCUGUCACACACCUCAGUCUGGACGACAAACUGGACAUUGAUUUGGAGUAUCCAGGGGAAACAUUUGAGGUGGUGGUUUUGGCAUUGGGAUUGGUGUUUUUGACUGUGGUUGCCAUUUUUAUAUCGAGGAGAAGGUAUCGUUCAGUUUCCUCUUCAAGUAACUACUCUUCUGCUUCUAGUGGGUAUUUUCUGUCCAGGUUGUGAUUUAAUUAAUUUGCACGAAGAAUAACAAAAUAUAAAUUAAUCUGAAUAUUUUCUAACACAUUCUUUUUUUUACCAUCAUUUUCAGCAAGUGAAGAUGGCAUGAAUAAAACCUAAUUUGGUUUCUUGGUGAAGUAAAUUAAGAUUUAUUUGCACAAUAGAAAGUACAGAUAAUAUUAUUUAUUAUAUUAUUUAUCAGCAAUAUUAUUAUCUUCAGCAAAAACGUAUCAGGGAAUUGGUCUUUGUGAACUGCGGGACAACAACAAACCUGGACAAAUUAUUGCCAAGACUGUUUUUGAUGGCUCCACAACAGAAGAAGUGGGAUAUUUUGGUGGCAAGUAAAGGUCCUUUAAAAUACUCAGAUGAGAACACAAAUCCUUAUCUCCAGCUGUUUAUGUGGUAUCAUGAGAUGUUAUGCUUUCCAAACUGUAUAAAAACUCUCAAGACUUUGACAACAAACUGGACUGUCACUUUGGGUAAUGAGCUCUUACAAUUACAGAAAGGAUCUCAUAAAGUUUUAAUGAUCUUAAUCAAAAUUCUUCCUUUUUUAGAAGAUGCACUUUCCAGUUAUCACACAGGUGUUCUGCUAUCUGGUGCUGCUGUCCUGCUGUUGUUAUGUGUGAUUUUGUCAAUAGCAAUAGCCAUUUGCAUGACAAGUCAAGCAGAAAGACAGAGAGGUAGGCCUAAUUUAAUGUUCU
ensembl:lncRNA